CCUAACACAUGCAAGUCGAACGGUAACAGGAAGCAGCUUGCUGCUUCGCUGACGAGUGGCGGACGGGUGAGUAAUGUCUGGGAAACUGCCUGAUGGAGGGGGAUAACUACUGGAAACGGUAGCUAAUACCGCAUAACGUCGCAAGACCAAAGAGGGGGACCUUCGGGCCUCUUGCCAUCGGAUGUGCCCAGAUGGGAUUAGCUAGUAGGUGGGGUAACGGCUCACCUAGGCGACGAUCCCUAGCUGGUCUGAGAGGAUGACCGGCCACACUGGAACUGAGACACGGUCCAGACUCCUACGGGAGGCAGCAGUGGGGAAUAUUGCACAAUGGGCGCAAGCCUGAUGCAGCCAUGCCGCGUGUAUGAAGAAGGCCUUCGGGUUGUAAAGUACUUUCAGCGGGGAGGAAGGCGACAGGGUUAAUAACCCUGUCGAUUGACGUUACCCGCAGAAGAAGCACCGGCUAACUCCGUGCCAGCAGCCGCGGUAAUAUGGAGGGUGCAAGCGUUAAUCGGAAUUACUGGGCGUAAAGCGCACGCAGGCGGUCUGUCAAGUCGGAUGUGAAAUCCCCGGGCUCAACCUGGGAACUGCAUUCGAAACUGGCAGGCUAGAGUCUUGUAGAGGGGGGUAGAAUUCCAGGUGUAGCGGUGAAAUGCGUAGAGAUCUGGAGGAAUACCGGUGGCGAAGGCGGCCCCCUGGACAAAGACUGACGCUCAGGUGCGAAAGCGUGGGGAGCAAA
rnacentral:rRNA from 1 species